GACGAACGCUGGCGGCGUGCUUAACACAUGCAAGUCGAACGGAAAGGCCCUGCUUUUGUGGGGUGCUCGAGUGGCGAACGGGUGAGUAACACGUGGGUAACCUGCCCUUGACUUUGGGAUAACUUCAGGAAACUGGGGCUAAUACCGGAUAGGAGCUCCUGCUGCAUGGUGGGGGUUGGAAAGUUUCGGCGGUUGGGGAUGGACUCGCGGCUUAUCAGCUUGUUGGUGGGGUAGUGGCUUACCAAGGCUUUGACGGGUAGCCGGCCUGAGAGGGUGACCGGCCACUGGGACUGAGAUACGGCCCAGACUCCUACGGGAGGCAGCAGUGGGGAAUAUUGCACAAUGGGCGGAAGCCUGAUGCAGCAACGCCGCGUGCGGGAUGACGGCCUUCGGGUUGUAAACCGCUUUCGCCUGUGACGAAGCGUGAGUGACGGUAAUGGGUAAAGAAGCACCGGCUAACUACGUG
rnacentral:rRNA from 1 species